rnacentral:rRNA from 1 species
UACAGAGGUCCCGAGCGUUGUUCGGAUUCACUGGGCGUAAAGGGUGCGUAGGUGGUGGGGUAAGUCGGAUGUGAAAGCUCGGAGCUCAACCCCGAAAUGGCAUUGGAAACUACCCUGCUGGAGGUUUGGAGGGGGGACUGGAAUACUUGGUGUAGCAGUGAAAUGCGUAGAUAUCAAGUGGAACACCAGUGGCGAAGGCGAGUCCCUGGACAAAACCUGACACUGAGGCACGAAAGCUAGGGGAGCAAACAGG